UCUCGAUAGCGUAAAAGUUAACUCAAAUUUGUAUGGAGUUGGAACGUUUGCCUACGUUUGCCGCUAGGGACGCUGUUCCAAAGUGCAUACAUGUUCUUUGAGUUAACUUUUACGCUAUCGA
rnacentral:pre_miRNA from 9 species